CGAUUAAGUUAUAAAGGGCGCAYGGCGAAUGCCUUGGCAUCAGGAGCCGAAGAAGGACGUGAUAAGCUGCGAUAAGCUUUGGGUAGCCGCAAAUAGGCAGAGAUCCAAAGAUUUCCGAAUGAGGAAACUCACAUGGGAAACCCCAUGUAUCCUGUAAUGAAUAAAUAGUUGCAGGAAGGUAAACCCAGGGAACUGAAACAUCUAAGUACCUGGAGGAAGAGAAAGAAACAUCGAUUCUCUAAGUAGCGGCGAGCGAAAGGGGAAGAGCCCAAACCAAGAAUUUAUUCUUGGGGUUGAGGACAGAACAUAAACUUAGGAGGCUAUUGUAAUUGAACACAACUGGAAGGUUGGGCCAUAGAGUGUAAAAGCCACGUAGAUGAAACAAGAAGACCUAAAGUUCUGAUCCAGAGUACCACGAGACACGUGAAACCUUGUGGGAAGCAGGGAGGACCACCUCCCAAGGCUAAAUACUACCUGAUGACCGAUAGUGAAGCAGUACCGUGAGGGAAAGGUGAAAAGAACCCCGGGAGGGGAGUGAAAUAGAACCUGAAACCGUGUGCCUACAACCGGUCAGAGCACUUUAUAUGUGUGAUGACGUGCUUUUUGUAGAACGAGCCAGCGAGUUACGGUAUGUAGCGAGGUUAAGGACUUAAGGUCUGGAGCCGAAGGGAAACCGAGUCUUAAAAGGGCGAA
rnacentral:rRNA from 1 species